rnacentral:tRNA from 1 species
UAGAAAGAAGGAAAUCGAACCCUUUCUGAAGAGAUCAAAACUCUUAGUGCUUCUUCUACACCACUUUCUA